rnacentral:rRNA from 1 species
AUUGAACGCUGGCGGCAUGCCUUACACAUGCAAGUCGAACGGCAGCACGGGAGCAAUCCUGGUGGCGAGUGGCGAACGGGUGAGUAAUAUAUCGGAACGUGCCCAGUCGUGGGGGAUAACGUAGCGAAAGCUACGCUAAUACCGCAUACGAUCUAUGGAUGAAAGCGGGGGAUCGCAAGACCUCGCGCGAUUGGAGCGGCCGAUAUCAGAUUAGGUAGUUGGUGAGGUAAAGGCUCGCCAAGCCGACGAUCUGUAGCUGGUCUGAGAGGACGACCAGCCACACUGGGACUGAGACACGGCCCAGACUCCUACGGGAGGCAGCAGUGGGGAAUUUUGGACAAUGGGCGCGAAGCCUGAUCCAGCAAUGCGCGUGCAGGAU